rnacentral:lncRNA from 1 species
GGCUGGGGCUGGGAAGGGGGCGGGACCCUGCUCCUGGUCCUCGGGGAGGUAGUGGGACCAGCCUCAGGUAAAGGAGCGGGGGUGGGAACUCGCAUGGUUAGUGAUGACAAAGGGCUGGCAGGCGUUGAAUGCCUUGCACCGAGAGGAGGGAGGCGACGGAGGGCCUGGCUCCCCCUCAAGUGGCCUCUUGUCUUUUCUGGCCUUGCACAGGGUUAUCGCAGGACCCUCCUGGGGGGCCUCCCCUUCCGGGCCACGCCCAGGCCCCCCCUUGGCACCCUUGAAACACCCGGGUUGUGGCCUCCUUCCUUGGGGAAGGAGAUCUGACAAGGCACCAGGAAAGGGCGGGGAAAGGAAAGCUGGG